CUCCAGUAAUGCUUGCCAAUUGCCUCCACAGGUGCCGGCCACCAUCCAGCGCAGCAGCCCUGAGGGACGACCGGAUCACCUCGACAUCCAUCCCUCAAGCUGUGUCAAUCUGCAGGCCCAGGCAAACAGGAGCAGGAAGACAGUAAGCUGUUUGCUGGCCCGAAUCCCAAGUGGCACUGAGGUAAGACCUCCCCCACACUAAUUUAUAUUGAACCUAACCCCUCCCACACACUCUAUCCCAUCCAAUCCCAUGCAUCUAUCCCCACACUCCUACAUGUGCCCGUGUCCGCUUAGCUGCGCUAUCUCCCCAGGGCCUAAAAUCCUCCCCUCUGCCUGUGAUAUAAUUAUGGUACACAAUGCUUUAACAUAAUUAACACAGGCAGUAAAAAUACAGUUUUUUUAUACAGAUCAUAUAACUUUAAAACCAUACAUCCAAUCUUCAUAUAAAUAAGCAGCCUUCAAAUAUAAACAUACCCAAAAAUCAGCCAAAUCCAUCCAGGGGUUAAAAAGUUAGCUGGAGGUCCCUUUAUGACCGACCGCAAGCACAUUUUCCUGCCCAAAACAGUUCCAUAGAUUUGGGCUGUGCGGUCGGUCUAUUUCAGGCUGACAAAACGACUAAAUUCCAAUUUUUCAUUUAAAGGGCCAGUUACAAAUAGCAGUUUGUAACACUUAUUAAUACUACAUCUGUGUGGUACACAAGGAGGGGUGUGUGGUUUAGAUAAUCUCAUCCUAGCAUUAUUCAUUAUUGGGAACAUAGGCCAUAAAUCAGGAUUUUGUAGUAAGAGAGUAAUAUAUUGUUGAAGAAUUCUGAAUCAGAUGUUUUAUGUUUUUAAUAUUUUAUAUAUAGUUUUGAGUGUUAAUCCAAGAGUAUUGAGUUAUUUGGGAUUAUUAAAGUAAUUCAUUGGGAUUAUCAAAUCAAGGUUUAACUUUAGGAACAGAAUUUUAUCAGGAAUUAUCCCCAUAUGUAUAUGUUAAGAAUAUAUGUACAUAUAUAUAUAUAUUUGAAGGCUUGGCCUGGAGUUGUGGGAGGGGCUUGGUUCACCUUUAAAAGGGCUGCCAAUCCACUCCCACCUUACCGUUGCUGGUCUGGCGAGUCUGAAACGUUACUACCGGUUCAGACCGCCAUCUUGGAUUUUUCCUUACCUGUUCCCUCGUGGUCUCCUGGUCUGGGCUCCCCUGGCUCUCCUUACCGUCGCCGGCGUCCGCACAGCUCGCUCGUUACUUUUUCUUCACGGAAACUGUAAGUCAGGCUCGCCGUAAAGCAACCGCUGCAAUUUCCCUGCUUUACACGGCGUAGCCCCGUUCGGUUCAAAUCUACGUUCGGUUCGGUUUUAUUGUAUCACCAAAACUAUGUGCCCAAAUAAAGCAUUCCCAAAAACGUAUCACACAUGUGUGAACGUCACUUUAUUGACAUCAAUUUUACAGCCACAUCCUUCACGUCAUUUAACUGAAUAUAUUAUUUUGGGCAUGACUGAGGGUUUUCACACCGGGUUGGUCCAUUUACCCUCCGGCACACUGGAAUGCAACAACCUGCAGUCCACAUUAGAUGAUCCACAGUUGGUAAAUACACUUAUCUCAACUGAGUUGGAACAAGGGUUUCUGUUGGGACCAUUCUUUUCCCCACCCUUCACGUCUUGGAGAACCAACCCUAUAGGGGUGGUCACAUGGAAGACCUCACUUAAACCCAGAUUGAUAAUUGAUUUAUCAGUACCACACUCCUCCACUAUCCCCAGCCUAAACUCUCUAAUACCUUCUGAAGAAUUUUCACUGCACUACGCCACUAUCGACCAUGCCAUAGGGGCCAUUAUACAAGCAGGUACGGGAGCAUGGCUGAGUAAAACAGAUGUGGUAAACGCCUUUAAGCUACUACCCAUACAUCCUUCCCUGUGGCAUCUACACGGUAUUAAAUGGCAAGGGAGGUAUUAUUUUUUCACCCGACUAAGUUUUGGCUCCAAAAGCAGUCCACGUAUUUUUGACACGUUUGCAGAGGCUCUAUGUUGGCUCUUACUAAAUGUGUGCAAGUGCCCUUCGGUUAUCCACUAUCUAGACGAUUUCCUCUUGAUUGAGAAUAACACUCUUCCACCUAGUAGUUUGAAUCACUUAUUGGCACUGUUUGAAUCUCUUAACAUUCCUGUCUCUCCUCACAAAACUUUGGGUCCAGAUAACUACAUGCAAUUUUUGGGCAUACAACUAGACACGAUAAACAUGCAGGCCAGUCUACCUCAGGACAAGAUUGAGCGUACCCUGGCAAGUAUUGAACAUUACCUGCUACAAGGUCAUUGCAAUCGGAAAGAACUUCAAUCACUACUUGGAUCGUUCAAUUUUGCCAUGAGGAUCAUACCCCAAGGUAGAUCUUUUAUAUCCCACCUGUUAUCCUUGUUUCCACUGUUUUCUUCAGACACUUCACAUAUCACAUUAGAUGUACACGCAACUUCUGAUUUACGCAUGUGGCGGGUCUUUCUCACCUCUUGAAACGGGCGAACCAUGUUUAUACCACCUCCCUCCGACACAUCACCUACAUUAUGGACAGAUGCCGCAGCUAAAACAGGCUUUGCCGCCAUCUGGGGUGACCAAUGGCUUUGGGGCCCUUGGCUGAUCGAAGUCGAAUCACUACCCACAUUUUCUGACACCUCGGCUUUAUUUGAGUUGUACCCAAUCGUGGCGGCAGCCAUUGCUUGGGGACCAUAUUGGUCUGGCCACACGGUCAGGUGCUACUCGGAUAACCUGGCUACAUGCCACAUUGUGAAUAAAGGCCGUUCGGCAUCACUGGUCAUUAUGAGACAGCUAAGGCGUCUCACAUGGGUAGCAGCCACUUGUCAAUUCUUUAUAACAUGCAUACACAUCCCGGGGUACACAAACACCGCUGCUGAUCACUUGUCUCGGUUUCGUUUCCAGGCUUUCCUCUCGUCACUACCCAACGCUUCCAGACGAGCGACACCUGCACCUCUUUUCCGAGACAUGAUCAUGGAUUAAAGACCUUGUUAGAUCACACACGUCACAUUUCUCAUAUGGCACUCUCAGUAAACACUAGGGACACUUAUGAUAGGGCAUUUCACGUAUUCAAAAAAUUUAUCACCGAGUUUCACAUUCACGACAUGUUUGCAUUAGAGACGAUUUUGGGGUUUACCUCUUUUUGCCACAUUAACCUUAAACUAUCCUUUAAUACUAUUAAACUGUACCUUACCAGCAUCCAACACCAUAUGCUCAUCCAACAACCUAACAGUACUGCUUUCCUAACCUCAUACCAAAUUAAAACAUUACUUAAAGGCAUUAAAAAAUUAGAUACACAUGUUCCCUCACAAAGACUACCUAUAGACAACAACCUCUUCUACUCUCUAUCCAACCUAUUAGAUUCAUCUCCUUUCGAACCCAUGACAAAUAGCACUAUCAAAACAGCACUAUAUCUUGCCUUUUACGAGUUCCUCCGGCCUAGCGAAUUCACAACCACAACCAUCACCGCACCUGACUACCUUAGAACCAAUGAUCUACAGAAACAUACCGACCAUUAUAUUCUCUCUCUAAGACAAUCCAAAACCAGCACCGACGGACACAGUAUUCAGAUACCCCUGUACCCUACUCACAAUAUAUGGUGCCCAGUUAAAGUGUUAGACACUUAUUCACUUUCAGUACAAAAACAACCUCAACAGCCUUUGUUUGAACUGCAUGGAAACACUCUGGCCACAGCUAAAUUCAUGCUGUACAUACGACUUCUGUUGACCAGGCUCGGCCUAAACCCCAAUCAAUUUUCAGGUCACUCUUUCCGUAUAGGAGCAGCAUCUUCCGCAUCCACUAACCACGUCCCCGCUCAUAUUAUUAAGGCCAUGGGGCGAUGGAAAUCCUCCGCCUACACACUCUACAUACCCAAUCCUGUUAAAUAAUUAAGAUAAGCUUUUUGUGACUUAUCUCAAUAAAAGAAGUUGGUUCACGAAUUAUGUUUUCUGGUUAUUUUCUUUUUGCCCACUUUUAUUACAGGCCUACUGCUUUGUCGGUUCCGGCACACCACAACCGACUGGUGCAUACUCAUGGAUGUUAUGAUUGUAUUGUGCUAAGAUUUCUCUGUUCGGCUAUAUUGCCCUGACUACAAAUAUAUGUGUAUAUAUAUAUAUAUAUAUAUAUAUAUAUAUAUAUAUAUAUUUCAUCAGUCACUUGCUCAAGAACGUGUUUUAGUAAUCCUGUCCAACAAGCAUUUAAAUACCCUGUAUAGUGAGCGCUUCUCUCAUCUAUACAAAGGCAUUCCAAAGUGAAAUAUGUAAAUUCCAUAGAAGACAAAUUUAAAGGACCACUAUAGUGCCAGGAAAACAUACUCGUUUUCCUGGCACUAUAGUGCCCUGAGGGUGCCCCCACCCUCAGGGUCCCCCUCCCGCCCGGCUCUGGAAGGGGAAAGGGGUAAAAACUUACCUUUUUCCAGCGCUGGGCGGAGAGCUCUCCUCCUCCUCUCCGCCUCCGUUACGCCCCGCCGGCUGAAUGCGCACGCGCGGCAAGAGCUGCGCGCGCAUUCAGCCGGUCUCAUAGGAAAGCAUUUACAAUGCUUUCCUAUGGACGCUGGCGUGCUCUCACUGUGAUUUUCACAGUGAGAAGCACGCAAGCGCCUCCAGUGGCUGUCAAUGAGACAGCCACUAGAGGCUUUGGGGGAAGGCUUAACCCAUUCAUAAUUAUAGCAGUUUCUCUGAAACUGCUAUAAUUAUGAAAAAAUGGGUUAACCCUAGAAGGACCUGGCACCCAGACCACUUCAUUAAGCUGAAGUGGUCUGGGUGCCUAGAGUGGUCCUUUAAUGACUUAUAAGCAAAGCUGAGAGAAGUACAUGAUACACAAGUUGAGGGUUUAACUUCAGGCUCUAAUAUGACUUUUGAUCUAGGUUAAUGAUUAAUUGAUAAUAAUAGAUAUAUCCUUUUAGGAAUUGUUCAUGUCAUAUUGACCCUUGUGUUUGUAUAUUUGUAGAGACCAACUUGGAGUGUUUGUGCUACCUUAUCAUUGGGACCUGCACAGCAAUCUCUCUCUGGCUGACUUUGCACUAACUAUUUUGCAAAACCCAUGCAAGCCGAAGAAACUGAGAUACUUACUUAUGAGGACAUAAACUUUGUACGCAAGAACCUGGAAAGUCCUGAAGGUACAGUGCUGUCUAAUGCCGCUGUAAUAACCCUUUCAAUAAUUGGGGUGUUGCACAGAGCAUUGAAGAAGAAUUAAGAACUAUGUGGAAGCUGACAUUGUCUUGUCGUCAGCCAUAUUUCUACCCUUAGCUAUUUUAUGGAACAAAAUGUAUGGUGUCCGAACUGAUUUCUUUAUACUCCUUGAAAGACUUAUUCUAUUUUUCUGAACUAUGCUGAACUAUUGAACUAGUUUGUUAUUUUUAUUUUUGUAGAGUUAGCCGGAGAGAGAGGAAGUGUUAGCUGACCCAGGGAUAAAUGUAGUUUGUGUUGUUGAUGUAUGUUGAGUGUGCCAAGGAUGGAUUCCCAUGUUUUGAGGAACUGAGUGUGGAUAUUACUGGUGUGACAGAUCCCUCUGUCUGGGAUCUAUGCCUAUAACCCUUUGGUUUCAUCUGCUUUUCGGUUAAUUUCCUGUCCAUACCCCCCAUUCAUUUAUUUCCCAAACUCACAAACAAAUUUCCAAAUGGCCGGCCACCCAGCAGGGAAGUGUGCUGCUGGUUAACCUCUUGGUUAACCGCAGACACCUCCUAAUUGUCAACGGUAUGCUCGGUGAUAGUCAUUCGUAUGCUGACUACGAGGCGGUGGCCAUCUUGGAUGCACGAAUGAUCGGCGGUAUUUGUCGACGAUUCUAUGGAACCAAAAACUGACACUUUCUUCCGAACACCGCUGAAACCGCCAACCUUCCUUCUCUGCCAUCCAGCAUACAAACGCCGGUCCAUUCGGUACUUUCCGGCAUGAACAGCCUUACCCCAGAUAGCCAUCCCAUCCCAUGGAGCCCAUUCGUAUACCAAAUGACAAUGUGAAAGACUUUGGCUCCAUGGCGAUUGAACUGUGUGUAUAGGAUCUGAGCGCCUUUCGGUAAUAAUGUGCGCUCAGAUCCAAGCUAUCUGGGGAUAUGUUAAAUGUGGUCAUUAUAUUCAUGUAAUUUGAAGUUAUUAAUUUUUAUGUAUUUUAUUACUAUGUCUAAAAUUGAGUCUAGCCUCUAUCCGUGGAGAUAAUUGGAUUACUUCCCAAUUAUCUCCAGGAUAGAGAGGAUGUUUUAUCGCAGCUAAAGGGGAGUGUGUGUGCUUGUGCCACUGUGAUUGGCAACUGUAUCCAUAUUGUCCCAGUCUUCCAUCUGGUCCCCUAGGGGAGUGUCCACCAGGUGGAAGACCUGCAUAAAUACCGGCCAGGUAGCCCUCAAUAAACCAGAUCUCUGCUCAACCCUCAAUAUGGAGCUUGGUCUCGUAUUUGGGGGUAUUGCAUUCGUAUGGUUUACCCGUUCGGCUGUUUGGUUCGUGAAGGAUUUCGUAUGGUACCUGUUCGGCUAAUUGGAGCUUUCGUUAGCUGCUUCUCUAUUCGGAAAGGGACCAUCUUCAGCAGUAUUAACCGCUCUUAUACCUGGGUGUACCGUAACAACUGGUGGCAAGCGACGUGAUGGUUUUCACAGCCCAGAAGGUCAGCUACACAGGAACAUAGACCGAUGGAAGUACAGUAAGAAAGACUGAAACACUCUACCCUCAAACAUCUGCUGGAAAGCCGUGGACGAUUGGCCAGUAACUGCAAGGGACAAGGGACAUCAUCGCAGAGCCAGUCGAGAGGGAUGGAGUUGAAGGAACCGAAAGAGCCACGUAACUGAGAGGCCCAGUAUAACAGACUGAACCCCCGAAGAGGCAAGUUUUGAUCAAGCGGUUAAGUUAAGGUUGGCGUACUAUGGUCCUAACCCGACCGUGGACAUUUUAGCCACAGUGCAGGCAAGUUUAAUGCAACAAAGAGGUGCUGCAGCAGCCCAAACCACCGUAAUCCCGGCUGAGAAAAAGAAAGUUCAUUUUGCCGCAUUUUAAAAUUUCGUUAAAAUAGAAGGGGAAAUCGACGGAUACCUUGCGGAUUUUGAGCAGUAAUGUGCACUGCACAGGGUACCCCCAGAGGACUGGGUUACUAUUUUGUCCGGGAAGCUGUCCAGCCGGACAAGUGAGGCUUGUAGCGGAGCGGCAAUAUUAAAUUCCACGAUCUCCACUGGUAUAGAAGGUAAUCCACAGUCAAGCACUGAAAAGUAAGGCAAUAUCCCAAAUCCCCCCAGUAACCGGACGAAACACAGUUCUGGGAGUCAACUGAGGUUUUUAUUCACAGCUCCAGUAUUUAUGCAAGUCCCCAUGCAAGGGGUUUCCCUACUGACAUUGCAGGGGUAAUACAGUAGGGGACUACAUGAGGGACUUAACAUUCUGAACAUUUUUCCCAUCAGGCACUGCUGGACGAGAGGGAUACUCCUACUGGAAUAUACCAUUAAGUGGAUUAUCCCUCCGUGCAGCAGAACCGGCAUUUUACAUUUAAAUACAUAACUUUCAUAAUAUUUGAGUUAUUUAAACAAAUUGAUGUUCGGUAGAUAGCUGGGGUCUGAGUGCACAUUUAGUGAGAAUACCGCUCAGAUCCCAGCUAAAACAACCAAACGCCGCACGAAAUACACUUUGCCAUUGAGUUCGUCUGAAAGUACCGAACACUUAUGGGGAACCGCAAUAGUGAAAGACCGGAGCUCCCGAAUGGCCUGGAAGUCCAGCGGUGUUCGUGCCGUCAAGUAGCCGAUUUCGGCUCCACGUGCUCGACGACCAAACAUCGCUGGUGAGACAAAGGAUCCAAGAUGGCCAACCGCCGCGUGGUCAGUAGCCGAACGACGGCCACCUAGGAAAGUCUUUAAUUACCGAUUGCAACAAUGUUGCAAUCGGUUAAUGGGUGCCACACAUCUCUCUAUGUGUGGGCUAUUAGGGGGUAGCUCAUUCGGUUCAUGAACAGCCCGUAUAGUCGCUGUUCGUGAAACAAAAUACAUGAAUGCUAGCGGCUUUCGGCUGCUAGCAUACAAAUUCUAUGCAAAAAGACAAUGUAGACCCAGUUUAUACAUAUUUUACAGCGGUUAGUAAGGACAACCUUUUUAUACAUAUAGUCCAGCAUCCUACAAGUGGCUAGGUUUGCCACAAUGCUCCGCCAGAACCAAGCCGGCAUACACAGUCUGAUCCCAAUGGAUCAGCUUGGGGAUGUUUGGAGGAGUGCCCACAGAUCACUUUUCAAGUUCAGUUUGUCUAGAUAACCCCUCGGCGUUACCGUUUUGUUUCCCAGGACGUUAUUGGAUGGUAAAGUCAAAAGGCUGCAGCGCCAAACUCCAGUGCAGCAGCCUGACAUUGUCUCCAGCCACACGGUUUAGCCACACCAACGGGUUGUGAUCUGUGAGCAGGGAAAAAGGUUGUCCAUAUAGAUACCGCUGCAACUUUUUGAGGGCCCACACCACGGCCAGGCAUUCUUUUUCGAUGGCGGCGUAGCUCACUUCUCGUGGUAAUAGUUUUCCGACUUAGAUACGCUACGGGAUGUUCUCCGCCAUCUGCUCCAACUUCUCGUGGUAAUAGUUUUCCGACUUAGAUACGCUACGGGAUGUUCUCCGCCAUCUGCUCCAACUUCGCUCAGCACUGCUCCCAAUCUAAACAUUGAAGCAUCUGUGUGAACAAGAAAGCGUUCAGUUGGAUCAGCAAGUACAGGUGCAUUAGUUAGAGCCGUCUUGAGUUGGUUAAAUGCCUGAUCACACUCUGGGGCCCAGAUGACCUGUCGAGGAAUGUUCUUGCGCGUCAAGUCAGUCAAGGGUUUGGCCAGGGCACUAUAAUUGGGUACGAACUUUCUAUAGUACCCUGCAGUACCCAGGAAAGCUAGCACUUGGGUUUUGGUCCUAGGGGUGGGCCACUUAGCAACGGCUUCAAUCUUGGCUGGUUCGAGUUUUUGUUGCCCGCUCCCCACCCGGUGGUCCAAGUACUGCACCUCUGCCAUCCCUAUAUGACACUUGCUAGGUUUCAGCGUCAACCCUGCCUCCCCAAUACAAUCAAUAACGGCCCCUAUGUGUUGCAGGUGCUCUGCCCAGGUCUGGCUAUAUAUGGCGAUAUUGUCCAGGUGUGCGCAUGCAUAUUCCUGGAACCCGUCCAGUAGCCGAUCUACCAUCCUUUGAAAGGUCGUCGGGGCGUUUUUCAUCCCGAACGGCAUGACCCGAAAUUGGUACAGGCCAAACGGGGUGACAAACGCCGACUUGGGGAUGGCAUCCUUGGCUAGUGGAAUUUGCCAGUAUCCCUUACAUAAAUCUAUGGUAGUGAGAUACUGACCAAUUGCCAUCUUAUCCAGCAGCUCGUCUAUCCGGGGCAUCGGAGAGGCAUCAGACACAGUUUUGUCAUUUAGCCUCUGGUAGUCAACACAAAAACGUGUCGUGCCAUCCUUCUUAGGUACCAGCACUACCGGCGAUGCCCAGGGGCUAUCGGAAUGUUCAAUAACACCUAGCUGCAACAUUUCCUCAAUCUCUUUCCUCAUAUGUUCCCUGACUGCUUCAGGGAUACGAUAUGGGGUCUGUGAGUGGCUAGCGGAGUGUACCCGGGCAAAUUGGAGAAGGUGGCUCCUUUAGCCGUGAUCAACUCUUGUACCUGAGCCCGCUCCUGAGGGCUUAGCCGCUCCCCCAGCUGAACCCCCGUGGAGGGCUCUGUCUGGUCAUCCUGUUCUAAUAGGUCAGGUAGUGGCAGGUUCUCCUGAUCCUCAGAGGCGGAGGCGCAUAUUGCUGCCACGUUCUCUAUCCUCUCAUGAUAGGGUUUGAGCAUAUUCACGUGGAGCAUGCGUGGAGCAGGGGCCAAUCACAUAGGUGGUGUCACAUCUCUGUUCCACCACCUGGUAUGGGCCCUGCCAGCCCCUGCAGCUUCUCUGUGCGGACCGGUUUUAAAAUCAACACCUUCUGUCCCACUUGAAAGCUGCGGUCUCUGGCUCCCUUAUCGUACCAGCGGCACUGGAGUUGUUGGGCCACCUGGAUGUUGGUGCGCACGGCCUGGGUUAGUGCCUCCAAGCGGUCCCUGAACUCCAGCACGUAUGGUACAAUGGGGGUCCUAUCUGUGGUACUCUCUCCCUCCCAAUGCUCUCUAAUUAAGUCUAACGGCCCUCACACCCUUCUCCCAAACAGCAAUUCGAACGGGGAAAAUCCUGUCGACUCCUGGGGUACCUCCCUAUAGGCGAAGAGCAGAUGGGGUAGAAAUCGCUCCCAGUCCAAACGUACGGAGCAUCUGUUUCAGGGUACCGUUAAAUCUUUCGCAUAAACCAUUGGACUGGGGGUGAUACGUGGAAUUUACUAUCGGCUUAAUGCCCCAUAUCUUCCACAGUUGUUGGGUGACCUCGGCGGUGAACUGGGUACCCCUAUCGGAUAUGAUCUCUUGGGGAAACCCCACCCUGGAGAAUAUUUUCAUUAAGGCCUCGGCCACAGUUUCUGCGUGAAUGUUGGAGAGGGCGAUGGCCUUGGGGUACCGGGUGGCGUAGUCCGCUGUAUCUUGACUGGAGUCUCACCGUCUUCUUUCCACCCUGGAUCAGCUUCUGUCCUCCAGGACUGUGUGGGAAAGAACUCUUCCUUCCACCCUGUACGAACCUCCAGCAUCCAGGACUGUGUGGUGAAGACCCCUCCUCCAAGGAGAACGUGUCAGGAACAAGCUCUUAAAAGAGCUAAGUGAUUCAAGCUCAGGGGAGCAUGCAGAGCAUAGCAAUCCCCAGUGUGAUUAUAACAGCUCCCUCCAAUAAUGAGACAAGGCUACAUUUAGAGGGAUCAAGAAGAACUGUCUAAACCUUUAUUUCCCUUGGGACCAGCCCAUAGGGUCACCACAAUAACAUUGUAGUGAAACAUCAAUAAAAUCAAAAACAGUCAAACCAUAGCAGGCAACACACAGUGACUUAUCACAACACAAUGGCACAUUUUUAAAGGGGUGGGGGAGACAAUAUUUAACAGUAAAUAUCUCACCUGCCUGCAGAAUUAGCAAUAUGUAAAUCUACCCGAAUAUGCAAAUGCACCAGUCUUGCAAUUCAGGUAGUGCAUAUUACUGUUGCUACCAACAGAGGGCACUAGACAAGCUCCAUAGACAAACCCACCUAGUUGGUAGCAAACCUCAGCAGUACAGGAGAGCAGGCAAUACAUUUCACAGUACACACACACACUAUAAACAAUUACAUUACACACACCCUGCACCUAUAAUGGGUACAGGGUGACUAAAACAUAAGAUAAAUAAAGCAGCCUACAUAAAUAGUCUGUCUGAAGGUAGACUAGGGGCUUUAAAGCCAAAUACAUGAAAGAGUCAUAGUCACAGGGGAGGAGGCUGGCAAGCAGGCCUCUCCAGGACCAAGUGGCGAAGGGCACUUCGUCACAUAGCCGAUUUCGGCUCCACACGCUCGACGACCAAACACCGCUGGUGAGACAAAGGAUCCAAGAUGGCCGGCCGCUGCGUGGUCGGUAGCCGAACGACGACCACCUAGGAAAGUCUUUAUGUGUGGGCUAUUAGGGGGUAGCUCAUUCGGUUCAUGAACAGCCCGUAUAGUCGCUGUUCGUGAAACGAAAUACAUGAAUGCUAGUGCCUUUUGGCUGCUAGCAUACAAAUUCUAUGCAAAAAGACAGUGUAGACCCAGGUUAUACAUAUUUUACAGCGGUUAGUACAGACAACCUUUUUAUACAUAUAGUCCAGCAUCCUACAAGUGGCUAGGUUUGCCACAAGGCUUUUCGUGCCAUUCCAGAUGAGGAUAUUGCUGAUUACAGUGUUGUGAAAGAAGCUCUGUUAACAAGGUAUUGUUACAAAGACUCGAUAUGACUUUAUUAUUGUUACCACAUCUUGUUACUGUUGCAUCCCUAUAUUAUUGACCCAGAGAAAAUACGAAUCCUUAUAACGAACGAUUCGUGGUACGAACGAGAGACCCCCCACUUAACCUCAUCACCCCUCAAAGUACCGAAUGACCGACCACCCGACAAGCGGAGGGUGUCGCCCAUUAACCCCCCAGGCUGCUGCGGUCUGCGGUUAACCACAAACAAAAUUGACGGGCACAGAGGAUCGCAUACAAAUUACCGAAUGGAAACUACCGAAGAACUCCCGAACGGAGACCUCCUACAGUGGGUCGUGUGGCAGCGAUUAGAAUGUGGUUUCUGCGGUUGACCGCAACUCAAGUACCGUGCUACCGAGCGGUCUCAAUUCAUAUACCGAACAAUUUCCACUACCAGACAGACAGCGGGGAUUCGCAUGAGCACAUAUCCGAUUUCAGUUCCAUAAGUUGGAGUCGAGGUCCCGCUGCUCAUUAAACCGCCUAAAAACAUGGCCGCCAGGGACUCACGACCAAAGUACCGAACAGACUUUAUACGGCAGAAAUUGCUCAUUCCGUUCGCGGGGUCUGAGCGCCAUUCGUAUAUUUAAUGUAUCCGAACUCAAGCUAUUGAAUGAAUGGUAGAAUGAACCGUUUUCCCCUACUAAUAUUGAAGUUAUGUAUUUUUAUACAGUUUUAUGAGGCAUAAUAAAACGUGGUCUUUUGUGCGCUUGGAGAUGAUUAGAUUGUAUAACCGUUGGCCUCAUUAUCUCCAAGCUGGGUGGGUACUAAUUCAAAUGAUACAUUGUACUGUGAUUGGUUACCUGUUUGUACUGUACCUGUAUUCCAUCAGGUCCAUAGGGGGCUGUCCUUGGACCUGAGGAAUUGCAUAAAUUGCCAUGUUUGUGUGCCAGUAAAGCCAGUUCAUUUUGACCCUCAACUUGCAGCCUCGACUCAUGUUGUAGGGAUCCGGGAUAUUGAUGCUUAUACAGCUUUUGGGAUACUCUACACUUGCAGCUUUUACCAAAGGAACUCCGUUCGACUCCAACCGAUCAACCCCCCUGCUAGACCGGGGGCAAUCGUAACAGGUAUGCCGUCACACCGGAGGCAUACCGGAGGCGAUUCAGAGACACGAACAAGCUGCCAGGAGAUUCUUAUACCGAGUGGGCAUGCCGGGUACACAGCACCGCAGCCCACUGGGUCACUGGCUAUCAAGCCGUAUCUUGGGAAGAGGUGCUCCAGUCAUUUCUCUUAGAACACUUCUUUGACAAGGUUGUAUAGAAUCCAUAAACCUUCCCAGAAAAGUAAUGCCCCGUCUCAGAAUCAACAGCUGGUGGUGCCUGCGAAACACCGGCAGGACAUUCUGCGAAUUGGGCACGAUGUACCAUUACCUGGACAUAGGACGCACAGCACAUAGGAUAACCCAAAAUUUAUUCUGGCCCAAUUUUAAUCAGGCUGUGUGACAGUAUUGUAGUACGUGUGACACAUGUCAACGGGUAGAUAAGCAGGGGGGACCACCCUAACGCUAGACUCAUGUCAAUGCCUAUUAUUGGAGAACCCUUUUCCCGUAUAGCUGUUGACAUUGUGGGUCCACUGGCCAGGGCUAGCCCAUCUGGAAAGAAGUAUAUCCUUACUGUGGUUGACUAUGCUACCCGGUACCCAGAGGCAAAAGCUCUGUCCAAUAUUGAGGCAGAGACAGUAGCUAGUGCCUUGAUUAACAUUUUUAUAAGAGUUGGGUUCCCUAAGGAGAUCCUCUCCGACCAGGGAACUCCGUUUACCGCUGUGCUCACCUAGCAGUUGUGGAAGGUGUGCAAUAUUAAACCAUUGCUUAGUUCACCUUACUACCCCAAGACUAACUGUCUCUGUGAGCGCUUUAAUGGCACCCUCAAGCAAAUGCUGAAGACCUUUACUGAUGCCUGCAGAGACUGGGAGCGAUUCCUGCCUCAUUUGUUAUUUGCGUACAGAGAAGUGCCCCAGGGAUCUACUGGGAUCUCUCCCUUUUGGGCAGAAAAGCCAUGCUUCAUUUGGUUACAAAGGACUACGAUCUAUCUUUUGAACCACUGGACAAAUUUGUAUGAUUUUGAUGUAUGUUUGAAUUUGGAGUAUGCUGAUUCUGAUGUAAAUGUAAGUUUUAUGUGAAUGUGAUUUAAAGUUAUGAAUAAUGUGGAAAAAUUGUAUUUCUCUGCCUGUGAUAAUUACAUUACCCAUUGUGUAAGGUAAUUGUAUCACAGGCAGAGGGGAGGAUUUUGUGUGGGAGUGUCUGAGUGUAUUGUAUGUGUUUAUUGGUUGUUUCCCAAAACCCUGUGGGUGGUACUAAUGUGUAAGAAUGUGUAUAUAAGAACAAUAAACCCACAGCUCUGUCUGUUCACUGCUUGACUGUCAACACGGAGCUUUGUCUCAUUCUUGGGGGAUUUAUUGUAUGCUGUUCCAGUUUGACUGCUAGGAGUGUAAACCUAUUCGUAUGGUUUUUCCUAUUCGGCUGUUUACGGCUUUCACAUGGUUUCCUGUUCGGCGGAUUGGUGUCUUUGGUAGCUGCCUGUAUAUCUGGAAGGGAAUAUCCUCUAAACAGCGUUUAAACCCUUUUAUGCCCGGGGUGCCGUUACAUACAGUAGGGUGUGGAAAUCAGAGACUGGAGCCAGCCAAGGUAGAGGCAGUUGCUAACUGGUCCACACCACGCACAAAGACCCAGGUACUGGCCUUCCUGGGGACUGCAGGGUAUUACCGACGUUUUGUCCCUGACUACAGCGCUAUUGCCAAGCCCCUGACAGACCUGACAAAAAAUAAUUUACCUAGGCAGGACCUGUGGUCUCCAGCUUGCGAAGCUGCAUUUAUUGCUCUUGGCUGCCCCAGUACCUAACAAACGUUUCCUUGUCCACACAGAUGCUUACAUGUUUGGACUGGGGGCUGUGCUGAGCCAAGUCAGAGAGGAUGGAGGAGAGCACCCUGUCACAUAUCUCAGCAGAAAACUACUACCCAGGGAAGUGAGUUAUGCGGCAGUGGAGAAGGAGUGCUUGGCCAUGGUCUGGCCACUGAAAAAACUGAACCCUUAUUUGUAUGGACUGACCACAAUCCCUUGGUCUGGCUUAACCAGGUCUCAGGAGACAAUGGCAGGUUGCGGCUGUGGAGCUUAGCCCUGCAACCAUAUAACUUCACCAUCAGCUACCGGCCCGGUAAGCACAACGGUAAUGCAGAUCAAUUGUCCCGGCAAACAGACUAGUUCCGGUCAUCCCCAAGUUGACCCGCAAAGGCUCAAGCCGGGUCUGCCGGAGUGUCCCACAAGGAGGGAGCCGUGUGACAGAUCCCUCUGUCUGGGAACUAUGCCUUUAACCCUUUGGUUUUGUCUGUUUUUCUGUUAAUUGCCUGCCCGUACUCCCCCGUUCGUUUAUUUCCCGAACAAACUCCCGAACAAACUGCCGAACAACCGCCCACCACCCCCUGGUGUUGAGCACCAGCAUUAGUGCGGCCACAUACCAGGUCCCUGAUACAGCUACUGCGUAUCCCAGGAGUUAGAAGAUAUGCAGACCCCCCAGGAACUGGAUAAGGAGGCUCUGCAGCAGAAACCAGGAGCUUGGAAAUAAGCAGACCCCCAAGGAGCUGAAUAGAGAGGCUCUGCAGCAGGAAUGUAUCUAGUACAGAAACAAGGCAAGGCUAGUGUAGCGGAUGGCCAUGAGCUGCCCUGGGACUUACAUUAUGUUUAAUCUGUAUUCGUCUAUUUGCUAAAUGUCUAUGCAGUGAGGGAAUGUAUUCGUAUAAAAUAGCUAAGUUCUAUGUGUAAAAUGUAUCGGAUUCGUCUAAAUGUAAGGUAGUUUCAUUCCCUUAGUUUGUUCGAAUGAAACUACCGAACAGUCAGACCUCCAUGUGUGAAGUGUGCCUUCAAUUACCCGUUGCAACAUUGUUGCGAACGGGUAAUUGACAAUCUGUGUUCUCCGGGGUGGCCGCCAUUCGAGAAACAAACACGUGGCGGCGGCCAUCUUAACCUCCCAAACAGCAGUGUUUUGCCGUCGAGUGUCUGGAACUAAAAACGGACACUCGAUUAGGCGAACACCGCUGAGACCUCCAUCAGCCCGGUCUGUUCGGUUCCAAGCUACCGAACGGCCCCUCGUUCGGUAGGCAUAAUCAACCGAACGAGGGGAUUCAGGCAAACCCUCCCAAGCCUCUAUAGCUGGAGGCUUUCAGGUACCGACCGCAGGGCCCCAUCGCAUGGAGCCCAAUUCGGCUAGUUCAUCCAGCACGGUCGGUCAUUUUAUUCCCUCCAGGAAAUUCCCAAACCCCUGGUCCGAUCUGGAUGAUUUUUGGAUAUGUUGUUCACCCAGAUCAGGGCUACCAGGGGAUGUAUAAUUUAAAGGGGUACCCCUAGGUUUAGGGGUACAUCCAGAAACGGGGGGAAUUGCUGUACUGGAUAAGGGGAUUAUGAUGCCGGCUGAGGGGAGGAGAGGUGUGGGAGGUUACCGGGACAGGAUUGGCUACUGUAUUAAUGAAUGGAAAUCCCUCCCUUGCAUGGGAGCAUGCAAUAUAAGGCACUGUGGAAUAAAGGUUGUCAGUUCUGCUCCUGAAACUGUAUGUCGUCCAGUUAUUGGGAUUGCUGUUGGGAUAUUGCUGUGUUAUUUUGCCUGCUGGAAACCUUGCCUGUGGAUUUACAAUUUACUUGUUCCUGAGCCUCACUUGGAUUAUAAGCGGAGAUAACCUGG